AUAGUGAUACGGUGACGACGAUUACUUCAGCAGCGGUGGAGAGGAGGUAGCUAGGCAUGUAUUUAUACAAAAGGAAUAUGACGGAGAGAUAAUUGAUGAAUUAAUUAGAGAUAAAAAUGUGAGGAUUUUAGAUCGCAGUGGGCUGUUUGGAUGCAUUAAUUAGAAGUCUAGCGGAGGGAAGAUGAAGAGUCAUGCUGAACUAAUUAGAGAUAGAAAGGUGGGGAUUAUAAAUGACAUGCAGUGGGGCUAUUUAGAUGCAUUAGUUAGAAGUAUUGUAUUGGGACCGUUUAGUUGCAUUACUUAGAUUCAUUAAUUGAAAGUUUGGUAGAGGAAAGGGGAAGGUUCACAGUACUUCAAACAUGACUCGACCCAACCUAGCCUCAUGCUAUUUUGAACAUGACUCGGCUCAACAAGGCCUCCACUACAAGAUAGGAUGCUGGCCUAUUUAACCCAACAAUGAGGAUAAAGGAGAACUUGCCAUGUGCAAAAAAUAUUAGAAAUUUACUUAGGUUAAUAGCCUCACGCCAUUUCGAAUAUGACUUGGCCCAACCUGACCUCUCACCACAAGGCAAGAUGCUGACUCAUUUAAGCAAACAAUGAGGAUGAAAGAAAAUUUGCCUCAUGAUAAAAAAUAUUGGGAAUUUAUUUAAGUUGAUAGAUAGAUAAAUGAAAGUUUGGUGGAUGAAAGGGGAAGGAUCACAACACUUCAAACAUCACUUGGCCUAACCCAAUCUUACACCAUUUCGAACAUAACUCGGCCCAACAUGACCUCCCACCGCAAGGCAAGAUGCUGGCUCAUUUAAACCAAUAAUGAGGAUGAAGGAGAAUUGCCACAUGACAAAAAAAUAUUGAAAAUUCAUUUAGGUUAAUAGAUAGAUAGAUAGAUAGAUAGAUGGAUAGAUAUGAUGUUCUGUAUUUCACUAGUCAAUUUGUAAGACAAUGCGGCUUGUAUGGUGGAGACAGCAGAGCAAAAAAAAGGAGAAUUUAUAUGUAACACAUCAGUCUGUCAGUACAUCAUUAGUCUAUAAGAAAAA
rnacentral:lncRNA from 1 species